GGUAUGAUGAGCCCGCGUUGGAUUAGCUAGUUGGUGGGGUAAAGGCCUACCAAGGCGACGAUCCAUAGCUGGUCUGAGAGGAUGAUCAGCCACAUUGGGACUGAGACACGGCCCAAACUCCUACGGGAGGCAGCAGUGGGGAAUAUUGGACAAUGGGCGCAAGCCUGAUCCAGCCAUGCCGCGUGAGUUAUGAAGGCCUUAGGGUUGUAAAGCUCUCUCACCGGUGAAGAUAAUGACGGUAACCGGAGAAGAAGCCCCGGCUAACUUCGUGCCAGCAGCCGCGGUAAUACGAAGGGGGCUAGCGUUGUUCGGAAUUACUGGGCGUAAAGCGCACGUAGGCGGACAUUUAAGUCAGGGGUGAAAUCCCGGGGCUCAACCUCGGAACUGCCUUUGAUACUGGGUGUCUUGAGUAUGGAAGAGGUAAGUGGAAUUGCGAGUUUAGAGGUGAAAUUCGUAGAUAUUCGCAGGAACACCAGUGGC
rnacentral:rRNA from 1 species